ensembl:snoRNA small nucleolar RNA, H/ACA box 24B
AUCCACGUUACCAUGGAGGCUGUAUUUUCUUUUCAAUGACAGUCCUCCUUCCUAGGCGUGGUACAGAAAAUUCUUGCUCUUAUUC